UACGGAGGGUGCAAGCGUUGUCCGGAUUUAUUGGGCGUAAAGAGCUCGUAGGUGGUUUGGUAAGUCGGAUGUGAAAUCUCCAGGCUCAACCUGGAGGGGUCAUUCGAUACUGCCAUGACUAGAGGUCGGUAGGGGAGUGUGGAAUUCCUGGUGGAGCGGUGAAAUGCGCAGAUAUCAGGAGGAACACCCGUAGCGAAGGCGGCACUCUGGGCCGAUUCUGACACUGAGGAGCGAAAGCGUGGGGAGCGAACAGG
rnacentral:rRNA from 1 species